AAAUUGACUGUGUUUAACGUGGACUGAUUUAUUUUCUACCAUUAAAAAUAUCCCUUAGAUUAAUCAAUAGUCUAUUUUCUUAUCAUGGACUUUAAACACCAAAUCCUUGCUCCUUUCUUGCCGGCGAUGCUUGUCCACCGUGCGCCUCCGCCGGAGAUAUAUUCGGCAGCGGACCCGCAACCGGAGACGAUUUUCGAUGGCGGCACCGCCACUUAAAUUUUUCUCUCCGUUUUUUUUUUUCCAUUCCCUUCCUCUUCUCUGCUCCUCCCUCAAGCCUUUGUUCUGCAACAUUUUAUUUCUCCUCCUUCGUUGACAACGGCUAGUUCUACGAUACCAGCCUCCCUCACUGUCAGUCUAGAUCGAAAUCAAGUUCAAGGACGAACGUGUAGACACACCGCUUGCUCCUCCCUCAACACUUCCGCACAUUGUCAGCAAAGGCACCGCAGAUUUGAUCGUCGGUGGCGUGAUUAGCAGAUCUGGAUAGCCAUGUAACGCGAUGUUUUUCGCAGUUUUUGGUGUUUUUUUUUUGUUUAACUGAUUCUUAAGCUUUUAGUCCCCGAGACUCACUCUGUUUCACUAUUUCUGGACUUUUUGGAUUGUUUGUUUUUUCGUUACUUUGUCAAUUUUUGCUUUGCUUGUCUCUGAUUUUUAUCGUAGAUCGCCAUCCAUUUUUUCUUCUUUAUUUUUUGGCACGGAGAUUGUUGGUUUGGGUGGAGAUAGUCAAAGAAAGAGAAGAAGGAAGAGGAUAGGAGAAGAAAGGGUGGAAGGGGGGGGGGGGGGGGGAUACAACAAGAGAGUCACCGUCGUCGGAAGUCAUGGUGGUUACCAGUCGAAAUUUGAGGAGCCGAGGAGCGAGAGAGAAAGAAGAAAAACAUUUGGUACAACAUGCCUACCAAAUUACUGUGUACCUGAGAUAAAUCUAACCGUAUAAAAAAGGCAAAAUUACAUUUUUUUCCCCUUCUCUACAAUUUCGAUUUUAGUGUUUUUAAAUUUAUUUACGAACUUAAUUUCCCAAUUAUUUCAAAUAGUGUGGUGAAAUGGUGAUAAGAUAGAGCAUAGAGGAGACGUGGGACAUGAAUUGCAUUGAAAUAUCUUGCAUUUGCAGGAAACGGCAACUUUCUGACUGUUUGGUUUUGUGCGGAUAUUUUUAAAAUUGCCUGAAGGUUAGUCUUUUCAUUUGCCAAUUUAUCUGCACAUUUCGUGUCUCUGAAUAUUUGAAGGUAUUGCUUGGCCCAUGCUUUGAUUUAAAUCAUUUUGGUGACACACAGUCAGAAAUAUUUUGUGAGGAUGAAUAGAAAAUUUGGAGGUGGAAAGCAGCCAACAGGGACUCCUUCACUGGCUUGGUCCUGCGUGGUUGUUGUCUUCUCUCUUCUUGCUGGUGCCUCUGUUGUUCACAAUAUCUAUAAGCCUAAUCUUACAUUGCCUCCUGUUGAUGGAGUUGAUAGCACCAAGCAGAAACAUGAUGAAAAAGAAUGAUCAUCUCCCCUGCUGAAUUCCUUUUCAUUAUCGUGAAGCCUUGCAUUACAAGGACUUGACAGAGCAUAUUCAGUUAGGAUCGAAGAUGUUCUUAGUGCUGGACAACUAUUUGUGGUUGGCUAGUUGUAUAAUCGGGCCCCAAGUAGCAUUAGGGCUUAUUUUAUUGUAAAGUGGAUACUGAAUUGAAAGUUAAUCUUAGAAAAGGUUGCAUAUCCUAAUGAGAUGGUAUCCAUAGAUGUUUUCAUUGUUGCCACUCCAUAAUUAGAGGAAAGAGGUGUUUUAUCUUUUUGUUGUCCAAUACUUUUUACACGUUGGAGAGAAAGAAUAGGCUGUUACUCACCUAUUGACUCGAGCAAAUUCCACUCCUUUUCAGAGUAACACAAUUGGUUAAAUAUGUAUAAAUUCUGUUUUACCUGCGCUA